GCCCAUGGCGGAUGCAGUCUAGAGGACUGCCUGGAGGAGGCGGCGCCGGGGCGAGACCUCCAGAGCGCAAGGCCGGCGGGAGAAAAGCUGAGGAAGUGGGAAAUCUGUGGCUGGAGCUCAGCAGAUUGCAACACUUCUACAUCAAGAAAAUGUGGCAAUAAGGCUGCCAAACCCUCCUGUCUUCUGAACCGAAUCCUUGUAGAUUCUGGAUAUCGCACCUUCAUAGGAAUAUUCUGAGAAUAUUUUCUCCUAUUCGCUUCCAGGAGCCGUCGUAGCAGCCGAUUAGGACUGGCUGCUGGUGUGGUGAUGACCUAGAGGGCUUCUCCCAGGUAAGGUGAGAAGAGGGAUCCACUCACUGCAAGAGGCUGCAUAAACUUAACCCAACACUGUAAAGGCUCUCCUCAUGAACAAAGCAUUAGUAGUCUAGAUAAAAUACUAACAAGCGAAAUCUAGCAACGUGUAAAAAAGAAUAACAUAGUCCAAGUUGGGCUUAUUCUAGGAAAGUAAGGUUUAUGUAAUUUGAAAGGCAAUCAAUGUAAUUCAUCACAUUUACAAAAUAAAGGUGAAAAAAUCAUACAAUCAUCUCAGUAUGCACAACAAAACAUUUUAUAAGAACAUUUGAUAAAAUUAAAUGUUGGUCAUGAUUUUUAAAAACCUGUAGCAAAUUAGGAAUAGAAGGGAACUUCUUUAAUUUGAUCUAGGGCACCUUAAAAAAUAAGCAAACAUGGCCGGGCAUGGUGGCUCACACCUGUAAUCCCAGCACUUUGGGAG
rnacentral:lncRNA from 1 species